rnacentral:sRNA from 1 species
AUGGCUGUCGUCAGCUCGUGUCGUGAGAUGUUCCGUUAAGUCGGAUAACGAGCGCAACCCUUACCCUUAUUUGCCAGCGAUUCGGUCGGGAACUAUAAGGGGACUGCCGGUGAUAAACCGGAGGAAGGUGAGGACGACGUCAAGUCAUCAUGGCCCUUACGAGUAGGGCUACACACGUGAUACAAUGGGAGAUACAGACGGACGCUAAGCCGCGAGGUGGUGCUAAUCCUAGAAAGUCUCUCGUAGUCCGGAUUGGAGUCUGCAACUCGACUCCAUGAAGUUGGAAUUGCUAGUAAUCGCGGAUCAGCAUGCCGCGGUGAAUACGUUCUCGGGUCUUGUACACACCGCCCGUCAUACCAUGGAAGUGGAUUGCACCAGAAGUAGAUAGUCUAACCUUAGGGAGGGCGUUUACCACGGUGUGCUUCAUGACUGGGGUAAAGUCGUAACAAGGUAGCCGUAGGGGAACCUGUGGCUGGAUCACCUCCUUAACGAUAAAUUCGCGUUUUAAACGCCCACACGAGUAAUCAAAUAUUAAAAAGAAGAACAUUUAGUUAUGUAAAAUCAUUGGUAUGUAAUUUUCUAGUGUAUACAUUUAUGUAUACAUAAGAUCACUGCAAUUAAAAAGUAACGCAUGCAUUUAUGUGUGCGUUAAAAAAGUAAUUAAUAUAUUUUAUUAAGUUACUCUCAAAAUGAAGAUAAAACUUCAAUAAAAAAUAAUAACCUUUUUUAAGGUUAUAUGAUCAAGUAAAGGAAGAGCACAAGGCGGAUGCCUUGGCAGCAUAAGGCGAUGAAGGACGUAAUAACCUGCGAUAAGCCUCGGGGAGCUGGUAAAUAAGCUUCGAUCCGAGGAUUUCCGAAUGGGGAAACCCGG